AUGAAAGUUUGGUGACUGAGUGGCGGACGGGUGAGUAACGCGUGGGUAACCAGCCCUGUACAGGGGGAUAACAGCUGGAAACGGCUGCUAAUACCGCAUAAGCGCACGAGGAGACAUCUCCUUGUGUGAAAAACUCCGGUGGUACAGGAUGGGCCCGCGUCUGAUUAGCUGGUUGGCAGGGUAACGGCCUACCAAGGCAACGAUCAGUAGCCGGUCUGAGAGGAUGAACGGCCACAUUGGAACUGAGACACGGUCCAAACUCCUACGGGAGGCAGCAGUGGGGAAUAUUGCACAAUGGGGGAAACCCCGAUGCAGCAACGCCGCGUGAGUGAAGAAGUAUUUCGGUAUGUAAAGCUCUAUCAGCAGGGAAGAUAAUGACGGUACCUGACUAAGAAGCUCCGGCUAAAUACGUGCCAGCAGCCGCGGUAAUACGUAUGGAGCAAGCGUUAUCCGGAUUUACUGGGUGUAAAGGGUGCGUAGGUGGCAGUGCAAGUCAGAUGUGAAAGGCCGGGGCUCAACCCCGGAGCUGCAUUUGAAACUGCAUAGCUAGAGUACAGGAGAGGCAGGCGGAAUUCCUAGUGUAGCGGUGAAAUGCGUAGAUAUUAGGAGGAACACCAGUGGCGAAGGCGGCCUGCUGGACUGUUACUGACACUGAGGCACGC
rnacentral:rRNA from 1 species